AAAACAUGAAUUUAUUUACAAGCAAAAUGAAACCAUGAUAUCUGAACAAACUUCUUAAAAAGGAAAACAAGUCUUUUAUUCUUAUAAAUAGAUGUACUUUAAAAUCAGUGACAUAAACCCACAAUUUUAGAAGUAAAAUAAGCUUCUCCAUUUUACAGAACAGUUAUCUAAUAAAAUAUAAAACUUAAAAGCAUCUACAACAUUUGUAGGUUUUUUUCAAAAAAGGAUUAAGCUUUUCCAGUCAAAAUUUUAAAAAAAUUCCAAAGUAUAUCAUGUUUGACAAUUUGCUUCCAAAUGGGAGUCUCUUUAGAGAAACUAAGUAACAAUUUUCAAACAACUAUGCCCCUCCAUUUGGUAGCUGGAAUCAUCUAAUUAAAACAAAGGUCUUUACUUCAAUGUAAAUAUGGCUAACACUCCAAUCCUGAUGGGUAUUUUUUCCCCUCCCUUAAAUUCAUAAGUACGUACAUAUUUCACUCCGAGACACCAUCACCAAAACAGAAAUGGAGGAUAACAUGGCAGAUGGAAGAUUACCUGGCUCUGGAAUAGCCGAAACUGGUGUGGGCCUCAUAUUCCUGACUUAUAAAAACAGAGAGUAUAAUCAUUCCUCAUGCUUACUUCGAAUUUUAAACUUUGCUAUGAAUUUGAAGAUAGACUUGAAUUUGAAGGUAGACUUCAUGCUCUUCUCCCUCCCCCCCAUCAAUUGACAGCAGUUAACCUGGAUUCUGGAGUCAGCCUGCCUACAUAUGAAUCCCAGCUCAGCCAGUUAUUUCGCAAUCUUGGGAAAAAUAUUUAAUCUCCCUUUACUCAGUUUCUUCAUGUGUAGAGCAGAUAUAUUAAAAACAGUACUGAUCCCACAAUGUUGUUAUGAUCCAUAAAAAACGUGGGUAAAGCACUUACAUCUGUGGCUAAUACAACAAUAUAGGAGGUUUCAAAUUUGUCACCAUCAUCAUUCACUGAGUGUGGGAAAAGAUCUUGUCUAUGUCCUAUGAAGUAAAGAAUGCCAUAUGGGAAGAUAUAUUAGGUUAAAUCACCUAAGACAUUAUAAAACACAAAAUUAUAAAACGCAAAAAUGAUUGCUUUUUAUAUUUACCUUAGCUUCAUAUAAUUUAGAAAAUAUUGUGAAUAACAUUAUAAUAAAUAGACAUGGAUGACUAUAAAUUACUUUGUAGUUCAAAACUUAAAACUAUAAAAAAAGGUUUUAACUCAGAUUAAGAAAGUUUAAUUACCAGAACACUCAGAAAUGUAGUACAAUAUCACCACCUAGUGGAUACUGUAUUUAAAAACAUUUUAUAGAUCGUGCUUGCCCUAUUUAUCUUUAGGAGGAAAAUCCUUUUCAAAUAGAAGCACAUUCUCUUCACUAAUGUAAAGGGGAUUUAAAAAAAUAGAAAACAAAUUUAAACUAUAUUAGCAGUAAUCUUAAACACUAUAGCUAAAAAUACCUCCUACUAAGUUGUGUAUCUCAAAUUUACUUCUAAACAAGGUAGCAGAGUUAAAAGACAGCAUGCAAUUCACCAGAAAUACUUCACCAUGACUUCUCAAUUAAUGCAAAAAAUAUUAGUUGUAACAAACAAUGAAUUUCACAUCACUGGGUUGUGAAGCAUCUUAAAAAAAAACAUUUUACACUACCUACUAAUCUGAAUCUCUUCUGAAGCAUUCCUGAUAAACAGAAAUCUUGCCAAUGAGUGGGGAAACUUGUUCUUUUCUGGAUCCAUUCCCAGCCAGAGACUAAGUAAGUAAAGAAUGUAUGUUUUGAAUCAGUUGAAAUCUGUUGGCCUUUGAUAUAAACUUUAGGGAAUAAACAAUAGUCCACUCCUUUUUCCAAAUAAUUACUCUUCAAUUAUCAGAGCUUAUCAAGUUGUAGGAUCUCUACUUCUCCAAGUUAAGCGUCCUGUAUAUUCGUUUAAAAGCCAUUUAUCUUACAACUGUUUGUGCACCUUUAAAUAGCUGCUAGCAUUUUAAAAAAUGACUUCAUUCAAUACAAAAAAAUAGUAUGUCAUGAAUGUUCCGGCUAAUGCAAAGUAAAGACAGAAUACAAAUUCUCUCUCCACAUUUUACUUCUCUUAAUGAAAAACUUUCUCAGUGAGGCAGAGUAUCAGUUAAAAACUCACAGGCUUGGGAGUCAGGCCAAUCUAUGUUCUUAAGUGACAGUGCAGACUUUGGGCAACUUGCCUGAUCUGCCUUAACUUUAGUUUCUCCAGCAGUCAUAUAAAAAUAUGAGUAGGAUCAAAUGAGAUAAUGUUUAUAAAUCAGCCAGUAUAAUGCCUAAACAUUGUAGGUGCUCAAAAAAAGAUAGCAAUUAUUAGUUACCAUUAGUUUUCUUCCCUCUCUUAUUUUGUUAUGUGCCCCCAACCCCAGUGGUUCAACUGAACUGUAUCAUUGUCAAGUUUCAGUCAGUGUGAAAAAAACAAAAUACUUAAUAUUUAUCUCCUCAGAAAAAUAUCGUAUCUCUUUUUGUCUGAUGGUGAUGCACUGGGUUCAAAUUAAAUUAACAUUAAAUUUAUCAAAUGCCCAACUUCUAAUAAUCAAAAUACAUUACUGGAUUUCUUCAUUUUGGCAACACUUCUUACCCUAGAAAUAAUUUCCAAAUGUUACAGAAUUCAGCGUUAGAUUAUGGAUAAUGUUAAGAAUUAUAUCAUCUAUCCAUUUUUACUAUAAUUUUCUCAGCUAUACAAGUUUUAAUAUAUUGGAGUUGUCUUAUUGUCGUCAUUUAGAUACAUAAAAAAAUACUCUAGUAGUUAGAUGCACCCUAACUAAAGUAACACAAAUUAUUCAUGAUUUUUUAAAUCUCUUCCCCCUUAAAAGUUUAAUAAGCAUCAGACAUUUUACGGCUUAUAUUCUAAUGGUUGAAAGUUACUUAUUGUUCUUAUUUAAAUAAACAGCAAUAAUUUUGAAAUCACAUCCUAUUAUAAUAACAACAAAUAACAUAUUUACAAGUAGAUACAUGUAUAAGUUUUAAACACUAUGGUAAAUACAAAAAAUUAAAACUAGGUCCGAAAAUUUAGGCAGAAAAAAGUUUAGAAUGGCUUUCAUUAUGAAGCAUGUGAUUUAUUUCCUAAAAUUAGCUUAUGGUUACAUAGUAUGUUUUUUCUAGGACUCACUUCAUUCUGUGCUAAAAACUUCAUUCAGUAUACAUUUAUUUGACAUUUACUAUAUAUUUACGAACUUUAUGGAUAUAUAACAGGGGCUGAAUUAUUUUUGAAAUAAGGCUAGACACAUGUCAGGCUAAAAUAACUACAGUCAAGACAAAUACUGUUCUCAUUUGAAGUGAGGAGAAAAGAUUAAACCACCAAGUGGCUUUAUUGAAUCUAACACCACAAAUACAGAAAUCCUAACUUUCAUGUUAAAUGCUUUUUCUACAAGCCCAUGGUUCCUAAGUCAUAUUCAAAUUUCCAUUCAAAAAAGCUUUCUCAUUUUAUUUGCAUUAUAUUUCUUUCUUGUUUCACUUAAGGAAAUUCUAGUUGCCUCAAAGAUAAUAAAUGCUCUCCAGCCUAAUUAACAUGAAUUCUUUUUUAUAUCACAUUUCACUUAAAUGUUUACCAAAAAUAACUGUCUACUAUUUUGGGGGCAUAAUAAAAAUGAGGAUGGAUCCCUUUUCCUCUCCUCUCCUAUCUUCAGACAAUUACAAAGAAAAAGAAAAUGUCAAGCAAGUGGCAGUUAAAUUCAAACUAGAAAUACAUGACAUUAAGCUAUUUAUCUAAUAUAAAUAAACUGCAUUAAGCUACUUAUAUUAAUGUACCUCAUGAAAGACUAAGCAUGUUCCAGAAAUAGCUUUAAGAGGAGGAAGAGGCCAGACAGCUAACAUAAUUUCUCUUACCAAAAUGACAUUCUAUGUUUAAGCUCAGGAACAUUGUAUUCCCAAAUAAUUUAAAAACACAGUCAGAUACAUAAAAAGAUUUCUGGUAUCCACUAAAAGAAAACAUAAAUAAUACAUGAGGAAACGCAUAGCACACUGCAAGCUUACAAAUGCCAUAUAAAGGAAAUACUCUUUAUCAAUGGAAUUUCAUAUAAGGUAGAAAAAGUUCAAAAAGUUUAUUACAAGGCUUAAAAAUUUAUGGACUAAAUCUUUUUAUGAUAUUUUUAAAAAUUAUUCUACUUAAAAGACUUUAACAAUAAUUACUAGGCUCCACAGCUCUCCAACUUAUCAAUACUUUUUAAUAAUCAUCUUUUAAUCAAGAGAUUCAAUUACAUUUAAUUUUUUAAAGACUCAUGUCAAAAGUAUGUACUUAAUUCUUGAAAAAUAUUCAAACCACAAAUGCAACUUAGGAUAUUUCUAAAAGCUAUGCUCCACAGCACCAUUUAAUUCACAGUAUUCUUUUCUAAAAUGUUGUGUUGUAUUUUAUAUACUUUAUAGAAAACAUGGAAGAUUAACCUGUUUCCCUCUGAG
rnacentral:lncRNA from 1 species